rfam:Rhizobiales bacterium 63-7 SCNpilot_expt_1000_bf_scaffold_1475, whole genome shotgun sequence.
UCUCAUCGACGCGGCACACUCCUCCUCCCAGUGCCGCCCGAUUGGACUGACGAUCCUCCUCCUCCCGAUUGUCAGUCAGUAUCAGUGCCCGGCGCCUCCUCCUCCCGCGCCGGGCACUUUCA